UCCACAAGGGAGUAGGGCUCCCCCCAUUCUUUAAAAUAGAGCAGCUCAAAAAACUCCUCUGGCAAUUUUAACUACACAAGAAUAGAAAACACCCAGGCAGAGUGUGAGAGAUCAAUCUUGUAAACAGCAGGAUAAGCAAGGUGUAAACAAGAAUGGAAAGAAAAUAUACAGCCUUUUAAAAAAUCAUUGCUUUUGACAAGGACAAUAAGAUAGGAAUAAAUUCAGCCCCGAAUAGCAUGGAAAAACAAAAGCUCAGAGAAGUGUUAAAUCACAUGCCAGGUGGCUGCAGGAAUUCGCAAUAAUCCAUUCCAAUCUGCCAACCCGUCCCUUUUGGCAUCCGGCUUGAUUUUACACAGGCUCUUCUUCCAGUUUUAUGUGCUUGGGAGUUUGUGGGGAGGGUGUUGUUUGGUUUUUUUCUCGUCAAGCAGCAAACCCAGCAUUUUCAAGGCUGUUGCAACUUUCCUAAGUCACAUAUUUUUUCUCCUCUGACCCCACAAACAAUGUUGUUUUGGAGAACCACAAACCACAAUAUUUCCAUCUUUCAUUUCACGGAACCAUGUUCUUGCAUGCAGUAAAAAUAUGUUCACAUCCUUGUACUAAGUCUUAGUAAAUGCAUCAUAUGAUCACGGGUGUUAUUAGAAGACUUCAUGCAAUAAAACUCCUGCAUCUUCUACCCUUUCAAUAAUUCUACCAAAUAUUAAGCACUGAGCAUGUACUCAUACUCAUGACCUGAAGAUAACAGGAAUGAACUGUCAGAUCCCUGCUUUGAGGACCACAUAGUCCAAUGGAGGAGAGAGACUUAGAAAUAAACAGCUACAAUAAGGGAGGAAGCUACCUUUAUCCCUCAAGCUGUAAAGUGAUAAUGUGCAUGGGUUUAUUAAACAAAAAUUUAGGGAAGGUCAUUAUUUUGGAUUAGGCUCCUGCACUAGGCCCCAACAGACCAGACCAAAUCAAAAUGGAGUCACUUGUGCUAAGUGCCACAUCAUCACACUGAACUUUGAAAUGGGCCAGUUUUCCAAAAAUCAAGAGAUUCAUAGCAACCAAUCAGAAGAGGCCCAGUUUACCUGAGCCAACAUAAUAAAGAAGUCCCCUCUGUUUUAACUCUAUAAGGAAAGUGAUCUUUUUCAAGGUGGUCUUUGAAAUGACUGAUCUGCUUUUUGUUCCCUGUUUCUGCUUUCUUCAGCCUUUUACUGCCUAUAAGCCCCCUCUUGUUGAGCCCAUCAGAGCACCCAUUCUAUUUUAUAGAAUGAGAUGGUGCCUGAGUCUAAAAUUACAAAUAAAAGCCAAUUCAAUUUUUCGACCACAUUUGUUGUAAUUUUGUCUUUUGACAGGUUCCACUCAUACUUUUCAGCACUCCUCAGCAGGUUGCUUCCAAGAAUUGAUCAAAGGAUGAAGUAUCCACCCUGUGCAGGUACAGAUAUUGGACAACACUCAGUGCUUCCCAUGAAGCAAAGAAAUGCCCUCCUGUGAAGCCCUUCAGCCUCCUCCACCUUCAUCACUGCCUUGCUCCACACUCCUGUUCUCAGCCUCAGACUUCCACACUGCCUUCUUCAAGCUUACUGAUGGCGCAAGUGUCAUGCUAUUUACUAUAUGCCAAGAAUUGCAUAAAUUAUCUCAUAUACUAUCUCAUAUAAUUAUCUCAUUGAAUUUUCAUAACCACCUCAGAAUAGGCUUUGUUAUCCCAGUGUUAUUAAUAAAGAAAAUGAGCCUCUGAAAUUUUCAGAAACUUCUGAAAAGUUCAGAAACUUGCCCAAGGCUAAACAGCUAGUAUAGAGAAACUGAGGUGAGAACCCAGGAUUAUGUGAUUAGAACACCUCUUAAACAGUACAUUCAUCUUUCUCCAUGGGCAUGUUUAAUGUAACGCCCCUUAAGGUUAUUUACACCUUAAGAACAGAGAUUGACAUUUCCGUUUUUUAAUAGUUCCUAGACAGGGUAGACCCAUAGCAAGCAACGUAUGCAUCUACCUAUGUGAUGUGAUUUAAGGGAGGCUGGACAAGGAUGGGUUAAAAAUGUCUCCACUAUUGCCUAUCAUGGUGCCUAGAAUUUCACCAUUGGGAGUGCAUUAUUUUGGGUGUGAAGUCUUUCUAGUCUUCAGGAUCGCUCUCUUAGAACAUGAUUGCCCUAGGAGGGGCAAUCCUACACUGAGACCUCAGUGAGGAUAAAGAUGUCAGAGAAUGAGACACAGGAGAAAUGCCCAGAAAGGAGCUAGGGACCUCUGAGAUGGGAAAAGUGGUCCCAAGAAGAGGAUGGGAGGUUCUAGGACAGGUGUGGAAGUUUUGUUUUGCUGGCCCCAUCUCUGUGGCCCUGAGCACUGGGCAGGGCAAAUGGAAGGUAUGUAAGUUUUUAUUUGACUUGAGGAAACAGUGUUUUGAUCCGACAUGAGAGGAGGAGGUAUGAGGGAUGGUGGCAGGUGGGCAUUGAGUGCUGAGGUCGCCAGAAAAGGAGAGCUCAGAAUGAGAGGAGGUAAUUUUGGGGACACAGGGCCCCAAGAAUAGUACCAAAUAAAGAGAAAUAACAAAUGAGUUGGUGAAUGUCUGUCUUCCCAGACUGCCACAGCCACGUGCUACCUAGGUACUCCCUAAUAAGGAAAUCCAAUGUGGAUUUAAUCACCGUAAUACAGAAAGGAUGUUAGGAUGAUCUAGAAACAAAAUGGAAAGACAGAUAUAAUGUACAAAGAUACUAUUUAUAAAAUGCAUUACUUCAAAAUAAACCCAGCUCUUUUGACAAAAAGAUCUAGUGGUUGUUCUAUUCCCAUAAUAAAUAGAUCCAGAAUUUUGGUAAAAGGUGAGUGUACCAGAUUUCUAUAUUAAGGUACAUGGCAAAUAUAUCUGAUAAAACCACUAGGCAAACCUAAAUCCCUGGUGAAGCUCAGUUAAAACCAUGAGAAAGAGCUCUGAAGACCACCACAGGGCAACGACCCUGAGAAAUCCUAAGACUUUCCUAAGAAUUUAGCCCUGAUCAACAAUCACUUUGCUCUAUGACCUUCCAGCUAAAGAUAAAUGCACUUGCUCUGAGCUUUCACUGAAUGCCUCCUUCACAAACAGGAAAGGUUACUUCUAUUUACUCUAAUCUACUUCCUAUUUUCAAAAAAGACCCCUUUAUUUAAUUCCUACAAAGAAAACAACCCCAAGGAGGAAAGAAGGAAGCAGGUAAGCUCUGACCUUUAUCUGCUAAAUGAGUUAUUUUACCAAUAGUACAGGUGAUCCUGUUCUCACAAUGCUGAAUAACAAUUCUUUGUACCCCUUGGCAUAAGAGGAACCAGUAGCUACAGCCUAAGGCUUAUUGUGAAUGAGUAGAGAAAAGAAAAAUAUAGGCAUGUAGAGACUUGAAAAAAAAAAGAGGAGAAGGGGGGAGAAGGAGAAGGGGGCCACAGGAAAUCCUUCCUCUUAUGAAUUUCUCUUUUCUUUUUUUUCUUUUCUUUUUUUUUUUUUUGAGACAGAGUCUCACUCUGUCGCCCAGGUUGGAGUGCAAUGGCGCGAUCUCGGCUCACUGCAACCUCUGCCUCCUGGAUUCAAGUGAUCCUCCCACUUCAGGCUCCCUAGUACCUGAGACUGCAGGCAGACACCACCAUGCCCGGCGAAUUUUUGUAUUUUCAGUAGAGAUGGGGUUUCGCCAUGUUGGCCAGGCUGGUCUCGAACUCCUGACCACAAGUGAUCUGCCACCUCGGCCUCCCAAAGCGCUGGGAUUACAGCAGGCUGCAAUGGGAGUUUCUCCUGCAGACGUUGAAGGCAUAAGCUGCCAUGUUGUGACAAGCCUGUGAGAUGCCACAUGGGAAGAAGCUGUGGGUGAUUCCUAGGACAUGAGAGUGACCCAGGUGACUUCCAGAAAUAAAGUGGGGACCUCAGUCCUACAAUCUCAGCUGGAUUCUGCCAACAACUGCAUGAGCUUAGAAGAAAAAACUCAAGCUCCAGACAAGAACACAGCACAGUCAAGAUCUUGAUGACACCUUUCCAAGACCAUAAGCAGAGGCCCAAGCUGUACUCAGACUCCUGACCCAAGAAGAUGGAACACAAUACUCAUUGUUUUAAGUCACUAUAUUUGUGGCAAUUUGUUAUGUAGCAAUACAUAACUAACACAUGUCAUAAUCCACUUUGAACUCAAAUAACAGCCAUUCUUGAAAAAAAGCUCUGAUUUGCCAAUUAUUAUUUUCUUUUGGCUGUUGAGGAUAACAGAAAUCUAGCAGAAUGCUUUAUACAUGUGUAUACCUUUAUCCAAUUCAAAACUUGAAUGCAGAAAAUCAUUCUCCAUGAGUGAGUCUUGAAACACAAAUGAAUCAGACUCAACAUUUUUCAAAAUAUCAAAAUUCUUUUAUUUUGUUACUUAAAAAUUGGAAGGUAUACCUCCAAACCAGUUUUUUUGUUUGUUUUCAUUUUUGUUGUUUUUGGUUUUGGUGUGUCUACUUAACUGUUUUGUUUUGCUUGUUUUGGGACAGAGUUUCGCUCUUGUUGCCCAGGCUGGAGUGCAAGGGCACAAUCUCGGCUCACCACAACCUCCGCCUCCUGGAUUCAAGCAACUCUCCUGCCUUAGCCUCCUGAGUAGCUGGGAUUACAGGCAUGCACCACCACGCCCAGCUAAUUUUGUAUUUUUAGUAGAGAUGGGGCUUCUCCAUGUUGGCCAGGCUGGUCUCAAACUCCCAACCUCACGUGAUCUGCCUGCCUUGGCCUCCCAAAGUGCUAGGAUUACAGGAGUGAGACACUGCGCCUGGCCUACUUAACUGUUUUUCAAAUAAAUGGUUUAUUUUCAAAGUUUUAGAUUUACAGGAUUAUAAAGAUAAUACAGAAAGUUCUUGUAUACCCCAUACCCAGUUUUCCCAAAUAUUAACAUCUUACAUUAGCAUGGUACAUUUAUCACAUUUGAUGAACCAAUGUUGAUACAUUAUUGUGAACUAAACUCCAUACUUUAAUCAAACUUUCUUAGUUUUUACCUAACAUCCUAUUUUUGGUCCAGGAUCCCACAUUACAUUGAGUCAUCAUGUCUCCUUAGGCUUCUCUUGAUUGUGACUAUCUCUCAGACUUGAGUUGUUUCUGAUGACCUUCACAGCUUUGAGGGGUACUAGUCAGAUAUUUUGUAGCAUGUCGCUCUACUGGAAUUUGUCUUAUGCUUUUCUCAUAAUUAGACUUAGAUCAAGUAUUUUGGGGAGGAAGAUUACAAAGGCAAAGUGCCCUUCUCAUCACAUCAUGUCAAGGGUACCUACUACCAAUGUGACCUGCCACUGCUGAUUUAACCUUAAUCACCUGGCUUGAGAUAGUGUUUGCUUGGGUUUCUCCAUUGUGAAGUUACUUUUUCCCCUCCCUUUCUUUACUAUACUCUUUGAAAGAAAGUCAUUCUGUGCAGCCCCCAGGGAGGGUUAUGCUUUACCCCCUGAAAGGCAGAGUAUCUUACAUACAUUAUUUGGAAUUCUUCUACAUUCUCUUCAUUUAUUUAUUCAUCAUGUAUUUAUAUCAGUAUAGAUAUGUAUUUUGUACUUUAAGUGAUAUCCUAAUUCUAACUUCCUUUCUUUGCUCAAAUUUUCCAUCUUUGGACAUUGAAAGUACUUUCGAUUGGGUCCUGUAUUCUUUUCACAUACAACCAUCAUUGCGGAUUUUUAUUUUUUGCACUUCUUUACUUUAUAGCACUACAAGAUGCUCCAGGCUCAUCUUGUAUAUUUGCUGCCACAGUCUUAAAUCAGUCAUUUCUCCAAGGAACCCUGGUUCAUUUCAUUGGAAAACAGUAUUAGAAACCAAGAUCUGGGAAACAGGUAUGUAUUGUUUGCUUCCAGACCAAACCAGUUUCUCAAUCUCUAAAUAUGGGAUCUUGGAAUGUCCCUGUAUUCUUAAUUUAUUUUAAUUUAUUUGACAAACAUUUUUGCAGUGAUUACCAUGUGCCAGUCACUCUUUUAAGCACUUUGAAAAUAUUAACUCAUUUAAUCCUUGUAAUAAUCUCAUAACAACAAAAUAUGGUAUUAGUCCCAUUUUAUGGACAAAAAAAACAAGAAACAGAUAUUUGGAUGUGUUCCAUAGUCACCCAGAUAGUAACUAACAGAGCCAAAAUUGAACCCAAGUAUCUGGAUCCAUAUUUGGAGCUAACCACAUUGGAGUUAGAUUUGGAGCUAACUCCUACAUUGCCUUGCAGUGGUGAGGACCUUGCAGAGCUGCCACACAAAUUGAUGAAUUAAUUCACCCACACGUUCAUUCUCUAAUACAAAUCUGUUAUGUGCCCAUUAGGUGCCAGACUAUCUGAUAUCUGUUAAUUGGUGCUUAAUGCCAUUUGAGAUACCUCUUGGAAUAUGACCCAAUUUAACAUAAAGGAGGAUGCUGUUGUAAUGUACCCCUUGAGAAGACUCUGGCAGCUGCCUGGGAUGAAGAUGUCAUAUAAAAACUACUCCACUGAGUGGUUGCAAAUAUACUUUAUUAUGCUUGAGGACACAAGAAGAAGCACCAUGUUGGAGGCAGACAGCAGCCCUCACCAGACACAUUUGCUGGCAUCUUGAUCUUGGACUUUCCAG